rnacentral:rRNA from 1 species
UACGUAGGGUGCGAGCGUUGUCCGGAAUUAUUGGGCGUAAAGAGCUCGUAGGCGGUGUGUCACGUCGUUCGUGAAAACCUGCAGCUUAACUGUGGGCGUGCGGUCGAUACGGGCAUCACUGGAGUUCGGCAGGGGAGACUGGAAUUCCUGGUGUAGCGGUGGAAUGCGCAGAUAUCAGGAGGAACACCAAUAGCGAAGGCAGCUCGCUGGGACGGUACUGACGCUAAGGCGCGAAAGCGUGGGGAGCGAACAGG